rnacentral:rRNA from 1 species
AUCCCUUCGGGGUGAACUUGAUGCUGACGAGCGGCGGACGGGUGAGUAACGCGUAGGAAACUACCCAGUAGCGGGGGAUAGCUUGGGGAAACUCAAAUUAAUACCGCAUACGCCCUACGGGGGAAAGCAGGGGAUCUUCGGACCUUGCACUAUUGGAUGAGCCUGCGUUGGAUUAGCUAGUUGGUGAGGUAAAGGCUCACCAAGGCGACGAUCCAUAGCUGGUCUGAGAGGAUGAUCAGCCACACUGGAACUGAGACACGGUCCAGACUCC